GACGAACGCUGGCGGCGCGCUUAACACAUGCAAGUCGAGCGAGAACCAGACCUUCGGGUCUGGGGACAGCGGCGAACGGGUGAGUAACACGUGGGUAAUCAACCCUCGGUACUGGGAUAGCCCGGGGAAACCCGGAUUAAUACCGGAUGGCCCUUCGGAUCUUCGGUUCUGAAGGAAAAGGUAGCUUCGGCCUCCGACCGAGGACGAGCCCGCGGCGGAUUAGCUUGUUGGUGGGGUAACGGCCUACCAAGGCGACGAUCCGUAGCUGGUCUGAGAGGACGAUCAGCCACACUGGGACUGAGACACGGCCCAGACUCCUACGGGAGGAAGAAGUGGGGAAUCUUGCGCUAAUGCGGGAAACCGUGACGCAGCGACGCCGCGUGGGGGAAGAAGGCCUUCGGGUUGUAAACCUCUUUCAGGAGGGACGAAGCUACUCGGGUUAAUAGCCCAGAGGGUGACGGUACCUCCAGAAGAAGCCCCGGCUAACUACGUGCCAGCAGCCGCCGUAACAC
rnacentral:rRNA from 1 species